rnacentral:rRNA from 1 species
GGGCCCGCACAAGCGGUGGAGCAUGUGGUUUAAUUCGAUGCAACGCGAAGAACCUUACCUACCCUUGACAUCCUGGGAAUCCUGUAGAGAUACGGGAGUGCCUUCGGGAAUCCAGAGACAGGUGCUGCAUGGCUGUCGUCAGCUCGUGUCGUGAGAUGUUGGGUUAAGUCCCGUAACGAGCGCAACCCUUAUACUUAGUUGCCAGCAUUUAGUUGGGCACUCUAGGGAAACUGCCCGUGAUAAGCGGGAGGAAGGUGUGGAUGACGUCAAGUCCUCAUGGCCCUUACGGGUUGGGCUACACACGUGCUACAAUGGUAGGUACAGAGGGCAGCUACACAGCGAUGUGAUGCGAAUCUCAAAAAGCCUAUCGUAGUCCAGAUUGGAGUCUGCAACUCGACUCCAUGAAGUAGGAAUCGCUAGUAAUCG